GCUCGGUUCGCAGCAGCUCAGCUCGGACUGCGUCUUUGGCCGUCGCAUCAGCGGUCGAACUUGACUACGAUAUUGGCAAAUUGGCCACCAAAUCUGUUCAAUGACGGAGAGUUUAUUGUCCUGCGUGGAUAAAAUACUGGGUUCCUGAUUUCGGGAUUAAAGAGAGGAUUGAUCAUAUCCUUUUAGCUCUGGUGGCUGCUGAGCGUGUCCUCGUUCUGAAUACUGUGAGAUCCAAGCUGCUUUUCGUAGUUACUACUACAGAUGAUGCCAAAGAUUCUGUAAAGGAGGAAAUUCGCUUGAGGAUGAGUCUCAGGACCAUAUAAAGAGGUAGCAGCUUCAUGAACUAGCCAUGCUGAACUCAAAUUUUAGAGAAGAGAGUCCAGGACCAAGUGGCAACAUGUCACCUCUCAAUACUAGUGGAAUGAAACGUCCCAAAACUGGGCGUUGAAAUGUUAUAUCUGCUGCUUCAUUGAAGUACUUUCUCUUGACCUCUGAUCUACAGAGUUAUGCCUGAACAUAUACAAUUUGUGGCUAUCAACUCUCCUUAUGGCUCAAUGCGCAGCUACCUAAGUGAAGGAUUGAUAUGAACAGACAAAUGGGUAUUUGGAGAUAUGCGUUUUUUACUGGAUUUUUUUGUUUGUUUUUAAGUUUCUAUUUAUUUACUGAAGAACAUAAAACAGAGAUAGAA